GACGAACGCUGGCGGCGUGCUUAACACAUGCAAGUCGAACGGAAAGGCCCUGCUUUUGUGGGGUGCUCGAGUGGCGAACGGGCGAGUAACACGUGAGUAACCUGCCCUUGACUUUGGGAUAACUUCAGGAAACUGGGGCUAAUACCGGAUAGGAGCUCCUGCUGCAUGGUGGGGGUUGGAAAGUUUCGGCGGUUGGGGAUGGACUCGCGGCUUAUCAGCUUGUUGGUGGGGUAGUGGCUUACCAAGGCUUUGACGGGUAGCCGGCCUGAGAGGGUGACCGGCCACAUUGGGACUGAGAUACGGCCCAGACUCCUACGGGAGGCAGCAGUGGGGAAUAUUGCACAAUGGGCGGAAGCCUGAUGCAGCAACGCCGCGUGCGGGAUGACGGCCUUCGGGUUGUAAACCGCUUUCGCCUGCGACGAAGCGUGAGUGACGGUAAUGGGUAAAGAAGCACCGGCUAACUACGUG
rnacentral:rRNA from 1 species